UACGAAGGGGGCUAGCGUUGUUCGGAAUUACUGGGCGUAAAGCGCGCGCAGGCGGUUCUCCAAGUCAGUGGUGAAAGCCCGGAGCUCAACUCCGGAACUGCCAUUGAAACUGUUGAACUUGAGGACGAGAGAGGUGAGUGGAAUUCCCAGUGUAGAGGUGAAAUUCGUAGAUAUUGGGAAGAACACCAGUGGCGAAGGCGGCUCACUGGCUCGUUUCUGACGCUCAGGCGGCGGAUGAGCCGUGGGGAUCAAACAGG
rnacentral:rRNA from 1 species